rnacentral:lncRNA from 1 species
UGUUGGUUUGUGUUGGAGUUUGUUGUGGCAUUGUUCUAGAGGCCUGAACAGAAGGACACACAGAAGAACACAUUGUUGCUGAAUGAAUGCAUCUCUUCAUUUACAGAAAGAAACAACAGAGGAAUUACGGAGAAGAAACCUGGAUUCAAAUACUAUUUGCUCUAGCCUGCCUGGUGCAAGAUGGACAGGGUUUGCCAUUUUGGGUCUAUUAUAUUGGUCAACUAGCAAUGUGACUGGCAGAACGGGUGUUGUAUGUGAAGGAUGAGAUCUGCAAUAGAUAUAUCAGAUAGGGGGGAGUGAGGCCUAAGAGGGUUUUAUAAAUAAGCAUCAACCAGUGGGUCUUCAGACAGGAAUACAGAGAUGACCAGUUUACA